rnacentral:rRNA from 1 species
AAUGAACGUUGGCGGCGUGGAUUAGGCAUGCAAGUCGAGCGCUCAUCAGCAAUGGUGGGAGCGGCGAACGGCGUAGUAAUUCAUAGGAACGUACCCUCAGGACGGGGAUAGCUACGGGAAACUGUAGGUAAUACCCGAUGACCUCCGCGGAGCAAAGGUGUGAUUCCGCCUGGGGAGCGGCUUAUGCGAUAUUAGCUAGUUGGUGGGGUAAUGGCCUACCAAGGCAAAGGANGUCUAGGGGGUGUGAGAGCAUGGGCCCCCACGACCGGAACUGAGAUACUGUCCGGACACCUACGGGUGGCUGCAGUCGAGAAUCUUCCGCAAUGGACGAAAGUCUGACGGAGCGACGCCGCGUGCGGGAUGAAGGCCCUUGGGUUGUAGACCGCUGGUCA